rnacentral:rRNA from 1 species
GACGUGCUAAUCUGCGAUAAGCGUCGGUAAGGUGAUAUGAACCGUUAUAACCGGCGAUUUCCGAAUGGGGAAACCCAGUGUGUUUCGACACACUAUCAUUAACUGAAUCCAUAGGUUAAUGAGGCGAACCGGGGGAACUGAAACAUCUAAGUACCCCGAGGAAAAGAAAUCAACCGAGAUUCCCCCAGUAGCGGCGAGCGAACGGGGAGCAGCCCAGAGCCUGAAUCAGUGUGUGUGUUAGUGGAAGCGUCUGGAAAGGCGCGCGAUACAGGGUGACAGCCCCGUACACAAAAAUGCACAUGCUGUGAGCUCGAUGAGUAGGGCGGGACACGUGGUAUCCUGUCUGAAUAUGGGGGGACCAUCCUCCAAGGCUAAAUACUCCUGACUGACCGAUAGUGAACCAGUACCGUGAGGGAAAGGCGAAAAGAACCCCGGCGAGGGGAGUGAAAAAGAACCUGAAACCGUGUACGUACAAGCAGUGGGAGCACGCUUAGGCGUGUGACUGCGUACCUUUUGUAUAAUGGGUCAGCGACUUAUAUUCUGUAGCAAGGUUAACCGAAUAGGGGAGCCGAAGGGAAACCGAGUCUUAACUGGGCGUUAAGUUGCAGGGUAUAGACCCGAAACCCGGUGAUCUAGCCAUGGGCAGGUUGAAGGUUGGGUAACACUAACUGGAGGACCGAACCGACUAAUGUUGAAAAAUUAGCGGAUGACUUGUGGCUGGGGGUGAAAGGCCAAUCAAACCGGGAGAUAGCUGGUUCUCCCCGAAAGCUAUUUAGGUAGCGCCUCGUGAAUUCAUCUCCGGGGGUAGAGCACUGUUUCGGCAAGGGGGUCAUCCCGACUUACCAACCCGAUGCAAAC